UACGUAGGGUGCAAGCGUUAAUCGGAAUUACUGGGCGUAAAGCGUGCGCAGGCGGUUUUGUAAGUCAGAUGUGAAAUCCCCGGGCUUAACCUGGGAACUGCGUUUGAAACUACAAGGCUAGAGUGUGACAGAGGGGGGUGGAAUUCCACGUGUAGCAGUGAAAUGCGUAGAGAUGUGGAGGAACACCGAUGGCGGAAGGCAGCCCCCUGGGGUUAACACUGACGCUCAGGCACGAAAGCGUGGGGAGCAAACAGG
rnacentral:rRNA from 1 species